rnacentral:rRNA from 1 species
AGCAGCCGCGGUAAUUCCAGCUCCAAUAGCGUAUAUUAAAGUUGUUGCAGUUAAAAAGCUCGUAGUUGAAUUUCGGGGUUAGUAGGCUGGUCGUGCCACUGGUAUGUAUUGGUCUCACUGAUUCCUCCUUCCUGAUGAGCCGUAAUGCCAUUAAUUUGGUGUUGCGGGGAAUCUGGACUGUUACUUUGAAAAAAUUAGAGUGUUUAAAGCAGGCUAACGCUUGAAUACAUUAGCAUGGAAUAAUGAAAUAGGACGAUCGAUCCUAUUUUGUUGGUUUCUAGGAUUGACGUAAUGAUUAAUAGGGAUAGUUGGGGGCAUUAGUAUUCAAUUGUCAGAGGUGAAAUUCUUGGAUUUAUUGAAGACUAACUACUGCGAAAGCAUUUGCCAAGGAUGUUUUCAUUAAUCAAGAACGAAAGUUAGGGGAUCGAAGACGAUCAGAUACCGUCGUAGUCUUAACCAUAAACUAUGCCGACUAGGGAUCGGAUGAUGUUAAUUUUUAAUGA